UUAAAUGAAGUAAGUUAGCCACAAAAGGACAAACACUAUAUGAUUCUGCUUAUAGGAGGGACCUAGAGUCGUCAAGUUCACAGAGACGGAAAGCAGAAGGGUGGGUUCCAGGGGCAGGGAGGUUAGUGUUUAAUGAGGAAAGAGUCUCAGUUUGGGAAGAUGAAAAAUUUCUGGCGAUGGAUGAUGGCGCUGGUUGCACAAUGAUGUGAGGGUACUUAAAAAUGGUUACUAUGAUAAAUUUUAUGUUACCUGCAUUUUACCACAACUAAAAACAAUUUUUUAAGUAAAAAAAAAAAGUCAAUUUUUCCACUGGGCUGUCUUUUUCUUUUUGAUUUGUAGGAGCUCUUUAUAUAUUAUCAACAGUAAUCCUUUUUUCUGUUACGGGUGCUAACAAUAUUUUUUUCUAGUCUGUUGCUUUUCUUCGAGUGGAUUGUAUUUAUGUAAGGCCAGAACUUAGCUGGAAGUAUGCUUUUUCUCCCCAAAUCUUGACUUCAUUAGUAACACAGAUGCUUCUCUCUUGCUGAAAAACAAAAUUGGAGGCAGCCGGGGGUGAGCGAGGUCAUCAUCAUUGGCUUGCAGGCUUUAAAGGCAGAGGUGUCUCCGAUUAGAGGGAAGUGGCUGAGCCAUUGCAGCCACACAAGGAGGGGCCGCACAGGGAAAGAAACUGCCGUGUCUGACACCCAAGUGCAGCUGCCACUGUGUUUCCACACAGCAGGUUUCCAUCUAGAAGGUUCCGCUGAUGGGGUUCACUAGAGGCCAAAGCUGACUCGCAGGGUGGUGGUCACAAAGAUGCAGACACAUCUCAAACCGCAGGUGCUUCCAGGCGCCACGCAGGACUGGGGUUGGCGUGAUGGGCACAGAAAAUGCCUUUGCAGUGAGUGCGAUGCUGACCGGCCUCCGCACGCCCCUGGGAGGUGGAGGGAUGUACGUGAUGGUGCUGGAGAAUGAAGGGGAUGCUUUCACCUCUCAUUGGUCUCACUCAACUUGUUCAAAGCCCAGGGGAACGCCAGGGGUGUUAUUUAACAGGAGUUCCCUCUGCAACCCCAGAACACUCUUAUCUGAUAUAUGUGGACGCAGAGGCUGGAGGGAACCGCAGCUCUCACGUGAGCUGAGAUUCCCAGGCUCCAGGUACACUUCUCUGUGUUUUGCAG
rnacentral:lncRNA from 1 species